rnacentral:tRNA from 1 species
GGGCGGAUGGUGUAACGGUUAACACAAGUGUCUUAUACACACUCGAGUCCUGGUUCGAAUCCAGGUCCGCCCACUA